CCUCUUCACGAUGACGAGUUGAUCUCGUACAUCCUCGCUGGACUCGACAUGGAGUACCAGCCGCUUGUCUCUGCCCUCGACGCACACACCACGCCGAUCUCCUUAGAAGAGCUCUAUGCCCAGAUGAGCAACUUCGACC
rnacentral:snoRNA from 1 species